rnacentral:rRNA from 1 species
UACCGAGGGUGCGAGCGUUAAUCGGAAUUACUGGGCGUAAAGCGUGCGUAGACGGUUAUGUAAGUCGGGUGUGAAAGCCCCGGGCUCAACCUGGGAAUUGCAUUCGAGACUGCAUAGCUAGGAUGCGGAAGAGGGAAGUGGAAUUUCCGGUGUAGCGGUGAAAUGCGUAGAUAUCGGAAGGAACAUCAGUGGCGAAAGCGACUUCCUGGUCCAGCAUCGACGUUCAGGCACGAAAGCGUGGGGAGCAAACAGG